rnacentral:rRNA from 1 species
GACGAACGCUGGCGGCGUGCUUAACACAUGCAAGUCGAACGGAAAGGCCCUGCUUUUGUGGGGUGCUCGAGUGGCGAACGGGUGAGUAACACGUGAGUAACCUGCCCUUGACUUUGGGAUAACUUCAGGAAACUGGGGCUAAUACCGGAUAGGAGCUCCUGCUGCAUGGUGGGGGUUGGAAAGUUUCGGCGGUUGGGGAUGGACUCGCGGCUUAUCAGCUUGUUGGUGGGGUAGUGGCUUACCAAGGCUUUGACGGGUAGCCGGCCUGAGAGGGUGACCGGCCACAUUGGGACUGAGGUACGGCCCAGACGCCUACGGGAGGCAGCAGUGGGGAAUAUUGCACAAUGGGCGGAAGCCUGAUGCAGCAACGCCGCGUGCGGGAUGACGGCCUUCGGGUUGUAAACCGCUUUCGCCUGUGACGAAGCGUGAGUGACGGUAAUGGGUAAAGAAGCACCGGCUAACUACGU